UACGGGGGGGGCAAGCGUUGCUCGGAAUUACUGGGCGUAAAGGGCUCGUAGGUGGCCAACUAAGUCAGACGUGAAAUCCCUCGGCUUAACCGGGGAACUGCGUCUGAUACUGGAUGGCUUGAGUUCGGGAGAGGGAUGCGGAAUUCCAGGUGUAGCGGUGAAAUGCGUAGAUAUCAGGAGGAACACCGGUGGCGAAGGCGCUCAUCUGGCCCAAUACUGACGCUGCAGCGCGAAAGCUAGGGGAGCAAACGGG
rnacentral:rRNA from 1 species